UUGGAGGGCAAGUCUGGUGCCAGCAGCCGCGGUAAUUCCAGCUCCAAUAGCGUAUAUUAAAGUUGUUGCAGUUAAAAAGCUCGUAGUUGAAUUUCGGGAUUGACGUGAUGGUCAUGCCUUAAGGGGUAUGAACUGUUGCUGUUGAUUUCUCACCUUCUGGAGAAACUUGAUGUCCUUAAUUGGGUGUCUUGCGGAUCCAGGACCUUUACCUUGAAAAAAUUAGAGUGUUUAAAGCAGGCAUUUUUGCUCGAAUACAUUAGCAUGGAAUAAUAGAAUAGGACGGCAUGGUUCUAUUUUGUUGGUUUCUAGGAUCACCGUAAUGAUUAAUAGGGAUAGUUGGGGGCAUUAGUAUUCAAUUGUCAGAGGUGAAAUUCUUGGAUUUAUUGAAGACUAACUACUGCGAAAGCAUUUGCCAAGGAUGUUUUCAUUAAUCAAGAACGAAAGUUAGGGGGAUCGAAGACGAUCAGAUACCGUCGUAGUCUUAACCAUAAACUAUGCCGACUAGGAAAUCAGACGAUGUUAAUUUUUUAAUGACUCGUUUGGCACCCUUACGGGAAACCAAAGUGUUUGGGUUC
rnacentral:rRNA from 1 species